UCCCUGGUGGUCCAGUGGUUAAGACUCCACACUUCCACUGCAGGGGCCCGAGUUUGAACCUUGGUUGGGGAA
rnacentral:tRNA from 1 species